UACGGAGGAUCCGAGCGUUAUCCGGAUUUAUUGGGUUUAAAGGGCGCGUAGGUGGGCGCUUAAGUCAGGUGUGAAAACUCCGGGCUCAACCUGGAGACUGCACUUGAAACUGGGUGUCUUGAGGGCAGGAGAGGAAAGUGGAAUUCCUAGUGUAGCGGUGAAAUGCGUAGAUAUUAGGAGGAACACCAGUGGCGAAGGCGACUUUCUGGACUGUACCUGACGCUGAGGCGCGAAAGCGUGGGUAGCGAACGGG
rnacentral:rRNA from 1 species